GACAGAGGGGGCAAGCGUUGCUCGGAAUCACUGGGCGUAAAGGGCGCGUAGGCGGGAUGGCAAGUCGGUCGUGAAAUCCUUCGGCUCAACCGAAGAACGUCGGCCGAUACUGCCGUUCUUGAGGGAUGCAGAGGAGAUUGGAAUUCCCGGUGUAGCGGUGAAAUGUGUAGAGAUCGGGAGGAACACCGGUGGCGAAGGCGGGUCUCUGGGCAUCUCCUGACGCUGAGGCGCGAGAGCGCGGGGAGCGAACCGG
rnacentral:rRNA from 1 species